GAUGGAGAGAUGAGAGCCAAUGAGAAAAGGAGAGAUGGAGAGAUGAGAGCCAAUGAGAAAAGGAGAGAUGGAGAGAUGAGAGCCAAGGAGAAAAGGAGAGAUGGAGAGAUGAGAGCCAAGGAGAAAAGGAGAGAUGGAGAGAUGAGAGCCAAGGAGAGAUGGAGAGAUGAGAGCCAAGGAGAGAUGGAGAGAUGAGAGCCAAUGAGAAAAGGAGAGAUGGAGAGAUGAGAGCCAAGGAGAAAGGAGAGAUGGAGAGAUGAGAGCCAAGGAGAGAUGGAGAGAUGAGAGCCAAGGAGAAAAGGAGAGACGAGAGCCAAGGAGAAAAGGAGAGAAGAGAGCCAAGGCGAAAAAGGAGAGAAGAGAGCCAAGGCAAAAAAGGAGAGAUGGAGAUGUGAGAGCCAAGGGGAAAAGGAGAGAUGGAGAAAUGAGAGCCAAGGAGAAAAGGAGAGAUGAGAGCCAAGGAGAGAUGAGAGCCAAGGAGAGCUGGAGAGAUGAGAGCCAAGGAGAGAUGAGAGCCUAGGAGAGAUGGAAAGAUGAGAGCCAAGGAGAGAUGGAGAGAUGAGAGCCAAGGUGAAAAGGAGAGAUGGAGAGAUGAGC
ensembl:lncRNA